rnacentral:rRNA from 1 species
AAGUCGUAACAAGGUUUCCCUGGAUCCUUCUGAAGCCUUUAACGCAACGACUAUAACCAUGUGUUGAGUCCACCCCCCCGCGGUGGGCGACGUCACCUCUGUGCUGGAAUCCCCUCUGGUGAGAUCAGCAGCCGAACAUGUCCACGUUUGGUUCACAGAUUAGAUGGUGGCGGUCAGCGGUCUAUGCUUCCGGGCACGCCCUGAUCCAGGUAUAAUCGGUCUCCAUGGCCUCCAUGGAUGAGCAACGUUCCGUAGGUGAACCUGCGGAAGGAUCAUUA